rnacentral:rRNA from 1 species
CUGAGCGGCGGACGGGUGAGUAACGCGUGGGUAACCUGCCUCAUACAGGGGGAUAACAGUUAGAAAUGGCUGCUAAUACCGCAUAAGACCACAGCACCGCAUGGUGCAUGGGUAAAAACUCCGGUGGUAUGAGAUGGACCCGCGUCUGAUUAGCUAGUUGGUGGGGUAACGGCCUACCAAGGCGACGAUCAGUAGCCGACCUGAGAGGGUGACCGGCCACAUUGGGACUGAGACACGGCCCAAACUCCUACGGGAGGCAGCAGUGGGGAAUAUUGCACAAUGGGGGAAACCCUGAUGCAGCGACGCCGCGUGAGCGAAGAAGUAUUUCGGUAUGUAAAGCUCUAUCAGCAGGGAAGAAAAUGACGGUACCUGACUAAGAAGCCCCGGCUAACUACGUGCCAGCAGCCGCGGUAAUACGUAGGGGGCAAGCGUUAUCCGGAUUUACUGGGUGUAAAGGGAGCGUAGACGGCGAGGCAAGUCUGAAGUGAAAGCCCGGGGCUUAACCCCGGGGGAACUGCUUUGGAAACUGU